rnacentral:rRNA from 1 species
CCCUACGGGACGCAGCAGUGAGGAAUAUUGGUCAAUGGUCGGGAGACUGAACCAGCCAAGCCGCGUGAGGGAGGAAGGUACAGAGUAUCGUAAACCUCUUUUGUCAGGGAACCAAGGCGGGGACGUGUCCCCGGAUGAGUGUACCUGAAGAAAAAGCAUCGGCUAACUCCGUGCCAGCAGCCGCGGUAAUACGGAGGAUGCGAGCGUUAUCCGGAUUUAUUGGGUUUAAAGGGUGCGCAGGCGGCCUGUUAAGUCAGCGGUAAAAGCCCGGGGCUCAACCCCGGCGAGCCGUUGAAAAUGGGGGG